rnacentral:lncRNA from 1 species
AAGAAAGAAAUGUGUUUAAAGUGGAGUAAAUAGUGUUCAAUUAGUAGAAAUACAGAGAUAAUAGCAAGAAGCAACAACAAUUCCAGAAGCACACGUACUAAAUCUCACCCAGAAAGCAGAAGGUAGCAAAUGACCAUGCAAACCGCUGAAAUUCAACAAUUUUCACACAAAUUAAACCAACUUUUCCAAAUUCACAACAAUUCUAUAGAAAACCACCAUAUUCAAAAAACAAAACCCUAAAUCCAACACACCACCAAAAUCAACACGCCUAGAACUAAUUCAAACCAUAUAGAGCAAAACUAAACAACCCAAUUCACCCGCAAAACAAAGAUCCAAACUUUAAUUUAAAAAAAUUAAAAAGUCAAUAUUUCCUUAAAAUUUGUCGUCGGCACUGGCGGCUCCUGUUCGUCACUGUUGUCGUCAGUGGUGUUGGUGACAAGAUGGGGCUACGGUGGUGGACGGAGGUGGUAUUUAGUUUGUUUGCCAAGAGAGCCGUUCGAGAGAGGGAAAGAGCGCUGCUUUGCAGUGACAGAGGAGAGUAUAUGAGGACUGACGACGGAGUGAGGAUAAGUUGACAGGAGAGUGGCCCUCCCUUAUUGCUAUACGGCAGAGUUCCAUUACAGCGGCCUUGCAUAUAUUGUGUGCUUGAACUUGCCACUGACUGCUAUAUACUUUAGCCUCUGGGUCCAUCUGCAACAAAAAUAAGCAACAGUGAACGCUUGCAGAGAAUAAAGAAUGAUGUGAAAUAGGACAAACUUUCAUCUAUUGAAUGAACUAUACAAAUGAUAGCAAAUCUGAUUUCUAGAUUGAAAAUCACAAAUAUUAUAUGGGGGGAAAAGAAAACAUUAAGCAUCAAUUAUCCUCUAAUUCAGUACUUAAUAGUGAGAUAAUCCACUCUAUAUUAUAUUAGUUGAUCAAAGAAUUGAGGGUCCUUGCAUAUUGAAUUCAAACUGGAAGAAACCAUCCAAUUGCAAGCAGUAGAGAAAGAAAGUAAGAAUGACUAAGCAUAAUGUUAAAUAACUUUUAAAACAACCCCUGCAGAGGAUCAUAUAUAUCAUUGUUGAGGCUCCAUGUGUUUUACAAGAUAUCAAAGUAACACAAAAUGUAUGAUCAACUUUUAGAAUUCUCAACACGGUAAAAUAGCAUGGCACGCGUUACGAGAUUAUCAAUAAAAUGUAAUAUGUAACACCAUGAUCUAAAACAAUCCAAUUGGGCCUGCAAAAGACUUUAAGUGACAUGACAUUAACUGGGAAAAAGAAUCAUAACAAUAACAGAUAAAAUCAAUCUUCUAAUGCUUAGAAUCAAACCUGGAUAUCAUUUGACAUGACUGAUAUAAAAUAGCUAAACUCCUAAAUUUGAGGAAAGUAAUUCAUUUGACAUGAAUGUGUCACAUUACAGGAUUUUGACUAUUUAAAGUAGAUGGAGAGAAAGUAACUGGCAAAAGAUAAGGUAGCA